ACAAAACCAAUUUUUCACUUUUUACUUAUAAUGUUUGACUUCGUUUUAUUCAAAAAUUUGUUAUGAUUAACAUUUUUGUUUUUAUUAGAUGAUAAAUCAUGAAUAGUACUUAACGUGUGACUAUUUUUUUUCAAUUUCUUAAAAAAAUUUCAAAUAAGACGGAUGGUCAAACGCUGAACACGGGAAUCGAAGAGUUGGUUUAUU
rnacentral:pre_miRNA from 1 species